rnacentral:rRNA from 1 species
ACCUCGGAUCAGGUAGGAAUACCCGCUGAACUUAAGCAUAUCAAUAAGCGGAGGAAAAGAAACCAACAGGGAUUGCCCUAGUAACGGCGAGUGAAGCGGCAACAGCUCAAAUUUGAAAUCUGGCCUUCGGGUCCGAGUUGUAAUUUGUAGAGGAUGCUUUUGGUGAGGUACCUUCCGAGUUCCCUGGAACGGGACGCCAUAGAGGGUGAGAGCCCCGUCUGGUUGGAUACCGAUCCUCUGUAAAGCUCCUUCGACGAGUCGAGUAGUUUGGGAAUGCUGCUCUAAAUGGGAGGUAUAUGUCUUCUAAAGCUAAAUAUUGGCCAGAGACCGAUAGCGCACAAGUAGAGUGAUCGAAAGAUGAAAAGCACUUUGAAAAGAGAGUUAAAAAGUACGUGAAAUUGUUGAAAGGGAAGCGCUCAUGACCAGACUUGGGCUUGGUUGAUCAUCCAGGGUUCUCCCUGGUGCACUCUUCCAGCCCAGGCCAGCAUCAGUUCGCUGUGGGGGAUAAAGGCUUCGGGAAUGUGGCUCCUCCGGGAGUGUUAUAGCCCGCUGCGUAAUACCCUGUGGUGGACUG